GAUGAACGCUAGCUACAGGCUUAACACAUGCAAGUCGAGGGACCGGCGCACGGGUGAGUAACACGUAUCCAACCUGCCCUUUACUCGGGGAUAGCCUUGCGAAAGAAAGAUUAAUACCCGAUAUAAAGGAUGGGGAUGCGUUCCAUUAGGUUGUUGGUGAGGUAACGGCUCACCAAGCCUUCGAUGGAUAGGGGUUCUGAGAGGAAUGUCGCCGACAUCGGAACAGGGACACGGUCCAAACUCCAACGGGAGGUAGCAGUGAGAAAUAUUGGUCAAUGAGCGCUAGCCUGAACCAGCCAAGUAGGGGGAAGGAUGAAUGCUGAUGGGGCGUAGUCUUCUUUUAUGUAAGAAUAGGUAGUAUAUGAAUAAGGAUCGGCUAACUCCGUGCCAGCAGCCGCGGUAAUAC
rnacentral:rRNA from 1 species